AUUGAACGCUGGCGGCAGGCCUAACACAUGCAAGUCGAACGAGUGGCGGACGGGUGAGUAAUGUCUGGGAAACUGACUGAUGGAGGGGGAUUACUACUGGAAUCGGUAGCUAAUACCGCAUACCAUCGGAUGUGCCCAAAUGGGAUGAGCUAGUAGGUGGAGUAAAGGCUCACCUAGGCGACGAUGCCUAGCUGGUCUGAGAGGAUGACCCGCCACUCGGGAACUGAGAUGCGGUACAGUCACCCUCGGGAGGCGGCUGUGGGGAAUAUUGCACAAUGGGUGGAUGCCUGAUGCAGCCAUGCCGCGUGUGAUAAGAAGAACGUCGGGUUGGAAAGUACUUGCGGCAGGGAGGCGUGACCCGCAGGAGAAGCACCGGCUGACUCCGUGCCAGCAGCCGCAGUGAUAC
rnacentral:rRNA from 1 species